UUGGGUUUAAAGUGCACGCAGGCGGUUUUGUUAAGUCAGAUGUGAAAUCCCCGAGCUUAACUUGGGGAACUGCAUUUUGAAACUGGCAAGCUAGAGUCUUGUAGAGGGGGGGUAGAAUUCCAGGUGUAGCGGUGAAAUGCGUAGAGAUCUGGAGGAAUACCGGUGGCGAAGGCGGCCCCCUGGACAAAGACUGACGCUCAGGUGCGAAAAGCGUGGGGGAGCAAAACAGGAUUAGAUACCCCGUGUA
rnacentral:rRNA from 1 species